rfam:Pseudomonas knackmussii B13 complete genome
AAACGUGCAGGGUGGAGAUGCACAACUGUCGGAUCGCGUAGUGGCUUAGAGCACUGAUCCAAAGACGCACGUUCUCGUCCGCCUCCGACUGUUGAUUCCUCCUCCUGUUGAUUGCUUGUUCGAACAUGACAAGCAGGAGACGUAGUCGCGACUCGGCCCGCUUAACGCCGAUUGUCGCUGGACACGGGAAUGGCUUGCCGUUCCUGAGUACGCGCCUGAGCACCGACCAUGAGAGUCGUGGGUGCCGAUUGCCGUUUCCGGCAGCCCCGGAAACCAU